UGGAGGUGAUGAACUGGCUUAGCCUGACCCUGUUAGAAUGGAGGCGAAAAACUGAUUUAAUGAGCCUGAUCC
rnacentral:snoRNA from 1 species